CAGCCGUAAACCAUGCUCGCUAGGUGUCAGGCAUGGCGCGACCGUGUCUGGUGCCGCAGGGAAGCCGUGAAGCGAGCCACCUGGGAAGUACGGCCGCAAGGCUGAAACUUAAAGGAAUUGGCGGGGGGAGCACAACAACGGGUGGAGCCUGCGGUUUAAUUGGACUCAACGCUGGACAACUCACCGGGAACGACAGCAAUAUGUAGGCCAGGCUGAAGACCUUGCCUGAAUCGCUGAGAGGAGGUGCAUGGCGUAGACGUCU
rnacentral:rRNA from 1 species